AGCAGGAGACGGUCCCUGUUUUAAAUUCAAGAUCGAACAUUCAACUAAUUCCGUUAGUCGCUUUUCGACGAAAGGAACUGCAUUAAACGUGACGUAACGUGGAUGGGUUUUAUUGAUAGAAAAAACUAAAAUGGGCAACACUUCCUUUCCAUCAAAACACCGAAGACAAAUUUCUCUAUUAAAUAAUUUCUGUGUUGUUUCAAUUUUUCUUUCUAGGGUGCAAAUAAGACCUUCAUCCAGUAUGUACAUCCAUUGGAACACUGGAAGAUGAAUCUUGUGUGCUGAAAUCAGCUUAAAGAAAAAUACAUUGCCUGUGACUUGGAUUGGGAUUAAGUCAUUUGAUGUACGUACAAGAUCUACCAUUAUGUUGAAGUAAGUCACAACAGGAAAGGCUUCCAUUUCAUUCACCAAAGAAAACAUUUAGGAAGAGCUGAUGAAGCAUGAAUAGCAGAUUGACAACUCAUUGUCGUGUACUUUCCAACAACAGCAUUACAGCCAAUGAAACAUUUGACAUCAAAGCCAUCAGAAUCAUGCAUGGCAAUGAGGCAACGUCUAAUUUAUAUGAAAAGAAAAGGAGAAGGGGUAACAAAAAAAGUAUUUAAAGCCGUCUGACCACCGUUUUAUACAUGGUGACUGUCAAUGGUGCCUAUUUGAAAAACGUGGAUCGCAUGUUCCUGAUCCUGU